rnacentral:misc_RNA from 1 species
UCCCGAACCGGGCAGUCUCGCCAGAAAGGGCAACUGACGAUGGGGGUUGCGCUCGUUGCGGGACUUAACCCAACACCUCACGGCACGAGCUGACGACAGCCAUGCAGCAUCUGUGUCUGCUCCCUUGCGGGUCCCUCCCCUUUCAGGUCGGUACCACAGACAUGUCAAGCCUAGGUAAGGUUCUGCGCGUUGCAUCGAAUUAAACCACACGCUCCGCUGCUUGUGCGGGUCCCCGUCAAUUCCUUUGAGUUUUAGCCUUGCGGCCGUAGUCCCCAGGCGGCGAACUUAACGCGUUAGCUCCGGCGCCGAGGGGGUCGAUACCCCCGACACCUAGUUCGCAUCGUUUACGGCGUGGACUAC